UGGGGAAUUUUGGACAAUGGGCGAAAGCCUGAUCCAGCAAUGCCGCGUGUGUGAAGAAGGCCUUCGGGUUGUAAAGCACUUUUGUCCGGAAAGAAAUCCUUGGCUCUAAUACAGUCGGGGGAUGACGGUACCGGAAGAAUAAGCACCGGCUAACUACGUGCCAGCAGCCGCGGUAAUACGUAGGGUGCAAGCGUUAAUCGGAAUUACUGGGCGUAAAGCGUGCGCAGGCGGUUUGCUAAGACCGAUGUGAAAUCCCCGGGCUCAACCUGGGAACUGCAUUGGUGACUGGCAGGCUAGAGUAUGGCAGAGGGGGGUAGAAUUCCACGUGUAGCAGUGAAAUGCGUAGAGAUGUGGAGGAAUACCGAUGGCGAAGGCAGCCCCCUGGGCCAAUACUGACGCUCAUGCACGAAAGCGUGGGGAGCAAACAAGAUUAGAUACCCUGGUAGUCCACGCCCUAAACGAUGUCAACUAGUUGUUGGGGAUUCAUUUCCUUAGUAACGUAGCUAACGCGUGAAGUUGACCGCCUGGGGAGUACGGUCGCAAGAUUAAAACUUAAAUGAAUUGACGGGGUCAUAGCUGUUUCCU
rnacentral:rRNA from 1 species